rnacentral:rRNA from 1 species
AUUGAACGCUGGCGGCAUGCCUUACACAUGCAAGUCGAACGGCAGCACGGGGCAACCUGGUGGCGAGUGGCGAACGGGUGAGUAAUGCAUCGGAACGUACCUUUCAGUGGGGGAUAACGUAGCGAAAGUUACGCUAAUACCGCAUAUUCUGUGAGCAGGAAAGCAGGGGAUCGCAAGACCUUGCGCUGAUUGAGCGGCCGAUGUCAGAUUAGCUAGUUGGUGAGGUAAAGGCUCACCAAGGCGACGAUCUGUAGCGGGUCUGAGAGGAUGAUCCGCCACACUGGAACUGAGACACGGUCCAGACUCCUACGGGAGGCAGCAGUGGGGAAUUUUGGACAAUGGGGGCAACCCUGAUCCAGCCAUACCGCGUGAGUGAAGAAGGCCUUCGGGUUGUAAAGCUCUUUCGGCCGGGAAGAAAUCGCACGGGCUAAUACCCUGUGUGGAUGACGGUACCGGAAUAAGAAGCAUCGGCUAACUACGUGCCAGCCGCCGCCGUAAUAC